AUGUUUCUGUUGCUGCGAAUGAUCCUCUCCUUGCACUAUGCGACCUCGGUGACCAUCCACCAGAUCCCGGCCUUCACCGUUUCUCGCCGCGAGAAUGUGUCACUGGAAUGUACCGUCGAGGGAAGCAGUACCAGCACUAAUUACAUGUACUGGUACAGACAGUACCCAGGAGAGGGCCUGGAGAACCUGUUUUACUCAACACGAGCCAAAAACGUGGAACCAAACAGGGAGGUGGACGGUUUUACCGCAGAUAGACCCAGUAGCUACGUCUUCAAGCUGAUGUCCUCCGGUCUUGAGGUGAAUUCGUCGGCCGUGUAUUUCUGCGCAUGGAGUGAUCACAGCGACUCAGGCGGACGGAGGAGCUGA